rnacentral:piRNA from 1 species
UACCAAUGAAAUAGAAAACCAACGAGA